rfam:Oryza punctata chromosome 6, whole genome shotgun sequence.
UAUAAGUGCAGUUGUGGGUUUCGUAUCCAACGUUUGACCAUCCGUCUUAUUUGAAAAAAAUUAUGGUUGGUAUUUUUAUUGUUAUUAGAUAAUAAAACAUGAAUAGUACUUUAUGUGUGACUAUUUUUUUUAAUUUUUUCAUAAAAUUUUCAAAUAAAAUGAAUAGUUAAACGUUGAACAUGGAAACCUAUAACUGUACUUAUA